GCCAGCGGCGAUAGCGCGUUGAAUGCACCAGUUCCCCACGGAUCGCUGAAGUUAAGCAACGUUGUGUGUGGUUAGUGCCUGGAUGGUGACCAUCUGGGUAAUCCGCGUGCUGCUGGAU
rnacentral:rRNA from 1 species